rnacentral:rRNA from 1 species
AUGAUGGAUAAAGGAAAAGAUAGUUGCAACCUCGGUAUGAUGUCUCCCUUAACUGCAUCAAUCUCGGAUGUGCUCAUAGGGGUGUGCAUCCCAUACCAUGUUUCAGACCGGGAAGCGCAAUUGGCUGUAGUUCGUUGCCGUACGUCCCUAGGAGUAACCAUGUCUUGCAUCGUGGCUGCACGUCGCUGGAACGCAGGGAGCGCCAUGGCAACAUGGAAACACCGACAAAAGCAGCAAGUCUGCGGCACUAUCGAAGAUGGUGGCCAUGUCCUGCUCCCGACAGAUGUCCUGCUCGAGAUUGUGGCACGCUCCGACCUUUGCACAGUUGUCCGUUGUGUGGCUGUCUGUAAGCACCUUCGUCGUGAUAUCCUAAGCCCGCCGUUCAUCCAUCGAAUCGCCAAGCUGACGGCUCCCUGCAUCCUCGCCGAUAUCUCCACCUACGACAAGGAACUCCUCUCCCUGGUUCACCCGGCUACAGCUGGCGCCGCGUCCUUCUGCCAUAACCAACUCUCGCCUUUCAUUGGCCGUAAUGCUGACACAGACUUCCUCCUCCCAGGAAGCCUCAUAUGUGUGUACGACCCCAUGACCGGCUGCCGCAGCUUCCUCUCUAGGCCGCAGGUUAUCCAGGGCAACCAUUACUCCGUCCGAGUAUACAUCCUGCUGACCGCCGCCGAUGGCAUCAACGACACCAUGCUGCUCGCUACCGAUCUCAGUGGACAUAGCAUCCAAGUACAGAUUGCAACAUCUUCCUCUGAGUUGUAG